rnacentral:rRNA from 1 species
AUAAAUAAGCGGAGGAAAAGAAACCAAAUGGGAUUCCCUGAGUAACGGCGAGCGAAAAGGGAACAGUCCAGCGCUAAGUCUUGUUGAUGUAAUGUUAACAAGAGAUGCAGCGUUUAUGUAUUGGUGCAUCGAGUAUUAUCAUGAAACUCAAGUGCCCUUGAAUAGGCCRUCCAUAGAGGGUGCAAGACCCUUAGAGUUAUUUGAUCGAUAUUCGCCAGCCAAUACAUUCUAGAGUCAGGUUGCUUGAGAGUGCAGCUUAAAGUCGGUGGUAAACUCCAUCUAAGGCUAAAUAUUGCAGCGAGACCGAUAGCAAACAAGUACCAUGAGGGAAAGUUGAAAAGAACUUUGAAGAGAGAGUUAAAAGUACGUGAAACCAUUGGGAGGGAAACAGAUGGAACCACGAAGUAAGCGCCCUAAUCGAUUCAAUCAUUGUUGGCAAUUAAUUUUGUAUAAUUGGARUCUUUUCGGAGAUUAACUAUACAAAAUUGAUUAUUGUCAAUAUUGGUGCAUUUCGYAUUAGGGAGUAAAGCCACGUUCGACUAGGUAGUUGGGACGGCCGUAGGAAAGGAUUCAAGAAAGGUGGUUGGUAUUGUUUUGCAAUAUCAAUGUUUAUAGUCUUGAAUCGGAACCGUCGCCUAACAAGCUGGUCGAUGUAAUUCUCCGUUUGGAGUGUUGUGCCAUAUCUGUAAUUGGAGUUAAGGAAAAAUUUCAGUAAUGUAAUCAGAACUUUUUUUUGUGCCAUUAUUGGAAAGAUUUGUUUAAUUUCCAAUGAUUAGAUAUGGUGGAACGGUGGUGCUAGGUCGGUAUCCAUCUGACCCGUCUUGAAACACGGACCAAGGAGCCUAUCAUAUACGCGAGUCGCUCGGUCUUGAUUAGGCCCGGGAGGCGUAAUGAAAGUAAAACUACGAAGCGUUAGCUGCAGUAGUGGCUCGCCUACUUCGUUUCUUUGGCGAUAGGGCGAAGCUGGAGCGUAUACGAUGGUACCCGAAAGAUGGUGAACUAUGCCUGGGCAAGAUGAAGCCAGAGGAAACUCUGGUGGAGGUCUGUAGCGAUUCUGACGUGCAAAUCGAUCGUCAGACCUGGGUAUAGGGGCGAAAGACUAAUCGAACCAUCUAGUAGCUGGUUCCCCCCGAAGUUUCCCUCAGGAUAGCAGGCGCUCUUAUAAACAGUCUCAUCCGGUAAAGCUAAUGAUUAGAGGCAUUGGGGUUGAAACGACCUCAACCUAUUCUCAAACUUUAAAUGGGUGAAAUGACUGACUUGCUUAAUUGAAGUCAGUAUUUGGAUGGYGAGUGCCUAGUGGGCCAUUUUUGGUAAGCAGAACUGGCGCUGUGGGAUGAACCAAACGUCGAGAUAAGGCAUCAAAUGCACACGCUCAUGAGAUCCCAUGAAAGGUGUUGGUUGCUAUAGACAGCAGGACGGUGGCCAUGGAAGUCGGAAUCCGCUAAGGAGUGUGUAACAACUCACCUGCCGAAGCAACUAGCCCUGAAAAUGGACGAUGCUGUAGCGUGGAGCCGAUACUCGACCGUUAUGGCGAAUGUAAAAAAUUAGAUGCCAUAACGAGUAGGGGGGUCGCUAUGAUAGCGUAAAAGGUCUUGGACGUGAGUCUGCCUGAAGCUGUCAUAGUUGCAGAUCUUGGUGGUAGUAGCAAAUACUCAAGUGAGAAUCUUGAGGACUAACGUGGAGAAGGGUUCCAUGUGAACAGCAGUUGGACAUGGUUUAGUCGGUCCUAAGGGAGCGGAGAAAUCCGUUAAAACAGUCUGAUUUUUUUUAUUGUUUUUAAAUAAAUAAAAAAAAUGAUACCAGACUGGUUUCCCGAAAGGGAAUCGGGUUAAUAUUCCCGAACUGGGACAAGAGGGUUGUGUCGAAAGAUGCUAGUACGGUAACGUUUUCAAAUUCGGAGACAUCGGCAGCAGUCCUGGGAAGAGUUGUCUUUUCUCUAUAAGAUAUCGAAUCCAUGAAAACAGAUUGUCUGGAGAUAUGGAUAAUGAUAUCGAAGAGCUCAGCAGUUCUCGCUGGGUCCGGUGCGCUGCUGUCGGUCCUUGAAAAUCCGAAGGCGAGUGUGCCCUUUUGCCUAGCCGUACCAAUAUCCGCAUCAGGUCUCCAAGGUUAACAGCCUCUAGUUUCUAGAAUAAUGUAGGUAAGGGAAGUCGGCAAAACGGAUCCGUAACUUCGGGAUAAGGAUUGGCUCUGAAGGAUGAGCCGUUCGGGCUGUGGUCUUAAAUAGAUGAUCUGCCUGACAAUCUGAGACUCUUGAUUGGGCUUCGGGUGUUUUGGUGAUUGUUUAUGGAGGGCCAUGGCUACGCCUCGCUUCCCUGUGUUGCGAGUGUCGUUUCGGGCGGUAACUAACAUCUUGUUCAGAACUGGCACGGACCACGGGAAUCCGACUGUCUAAUUAAAACAAAGCAUUGCGAUGGCCGGAGAUCGGUGUUGACGCAAUGUGAUUUCUGCCCAGUGGUAUGAAUGUCAAUGUGAAGAAAUUCACUCAAGCGCUACUAAACGG